AAGUAGGGGAUAACACCUGGAAACAGAUGCUAAUACCGUAUAACAGAGAAAACCGCAUGGUUUUCUUUUAAAAGAUGGCUCUGCUAUCACUUCUGGAUGGACCCGCGGCGUAUUAGCUAGUUGGUGAGGUAAAGGCUCACCAAGGCAGUGAUACGUAGCCGACCUGAGAGGGUAAUCGGCCACAUUGGGACUGAGACACGGCCCAGACUCCUACGGGAGGCAGCAGUAGGGAAUCUUCCACAAUGGACGCAAGUCUGAUGGAGCAACGCCGCGUGAGUGAAGAAGGGUUUCGGCUCGUA
rnacentral:rRNA from 1 species